rnacentral:rRNA from 1 species
GGUCCAGACUCCUACGGGAGGCAGCAGUGGGGAAUUUUGGACAAUGGGGGCAACCCUGAUCCAGCAAUGCCGCGUGAGUGAAGAAGGCCUUCGGGUUGUAAAGCUCUUUUGUCAGGGAAGAAACGGUUUUGGCUAAUAUCCAGAGCUAAUGACGGUACCUGAAGAAUAAGCACCGGCUAACUACGUGCCAGCAGCCGCGGUAAUACGUAGGGUGCAAGCGUUAAUCGGAAUUACUGGGCGUAAAGCGUGCGCAGGCGGUUUUGUAAGACUG